rnacentral:rRNA from 1 species
UCGGGAAUAUUGCGCAAUGGAGGAAACUCUGACGCAGUGACGCCGCGUAUAGGAAGAAGGUUUUCGGAUUGUAAACUAUUGUCGUUAGGGAAGAGAAAGGACAGUACCUAAGGAGGAAGCUCCGGCUAACUACGUGCCAGCAGCCGCGGUAAUACGUAGGGAGCGAGCGUUAUCCGGAUUUAUUGGGUGUAAAGGGUGCGUAGACGGGAAUGCAAGUUAGUUGUGAAAUCCCUCGGCUUAACUGAGGAACUGCAACUAAAACUACAUUUCUUGAGUGCAGGAGAGGUAAGUGGAAUUCCUAGUGUAGCGGUGAAAUGCGUAGAUAUUAGGAGGAACACCAGUGGCGAAGGCGACUUACUGGACUGUAACUGACGUUGAGGCACGAAAGUGUGGGGAGCAAACAGGAUUAGAUACC